UCGGCUUUACUGUUUCCCCUCGGCGGGCAGCGCGCGGGCACCUCGGCCCCGCGGAGCUCGCCUGGACGCGCCCGUCGCCAGGCUCGGGUGGGUGACGCUGGCCGCGUGGAUCUCCGCUCGCUGGGUCCUGCGACCCCAGGGCAAAAACGUGUGUGCGUUGGUCUGUCCUUGUUUAUGGAGCGGUUUCCGGUGAAUGUUGGACAGAAACUAAAUAAUUAAAAGAAACUCAACCCUGAAUCCUAGCAAACGUCAGGUUUAAGACGACGGAGACUCAAGAGAAGCUCCAAAUCCAAGGUCGAGAGGACCCAGGUUUCCACCACUUCUUCCAAAUAAAUUUUACUAAUCUUUCUACAAGGAUUGCGUAUUAAAGUAAGACAGCCUCUCCACGCCAAAUUAAGGCUGAAUGUCGACGUUUUUCCGUCACCGCAUGAAAGGAAUCCUCUAGAACUUACUUUUAGGGACAGUCUCUUCUAUCCCGAAUUUUUGUAUUUGUAGGGAAUUUUAUGGAGUAGAGGGGCGAAGAGGGAAUAAUGUCUUCCAUUCAAAUAAAACCCCAAAUCACGCUCUUAGGACCGUCGGUGGGAAAGCCUGCGGGAGAACCCGCACUCUGUCCUGGCACACAUCGCCCUGGGGUGAGCAGGGUGGAAUCUGAGUCUCCUUUUCCCGCCUGACCCCGGCUCGCCCCGGCCGCCUUUUCGGGCCGGCGGCUGCAGGAGCCUCGGCGCCGCUAGGGGAUGCAGUGGCUCAAAGGACCAGGGAGGCCGAGGAGGUUGGAGCCCGCGGGGCCGCCCAAUCGCGG